CAAUCUCGACCCUGUAACACACAAAAGAAUAAAGUUUAUUAAUAAAUUGCGAAAUGUAUUAACACAUAGCGUAAGAUUUAUCUAGUAUUGUUGAUUAGAUGAGUUUGAUUGAAUAAGUUUAUUCUAAUAUGAAGUUUUAAGUAAAUUGUGUGCGAAAACUUGAAUCAUGAAAUUAAUUUUAAACAAUAAAAUAAAAAUUGAUUUGUAAUAUUCGGAUAAUCAAAAAAAUUACCACUCCAAUCUGUUGUAUCAUAAUAAGAUUGGAGUACAAUUAAGUACAUAUUACAGAAGUAUAGAAUUCUAUACUUAAUGCGCGAAAUGUUCUGUUCUCUGCCUUAUUUGUAAUUUCAUAAGGAAACGGUAUGAAAUAUUAGAUGACCGCCAAAAAGAUGAUACCAAAAAGUAUUGAAUAUCAGAUCUAUUCUGUAUCUCGUUGGUGAUAUUAUCGAUCUUUUUAUCAUUUUCCACAUUACCGAUUAUAGCGCAGAAUAAGGUUACAACAUUCACAGUGGAGAAAAUUGGGACUAAAUACAUGAAAACUUAUUUGUUUCUCAAAAAUAAUAUGUGAAACAAUAUAUAGGAAAAAGAUAUUGUUAUAAAUUUGAUCAUAAAUAAGAUAUGAAGAACUUGAAUCUCAUAUGAGAUAUUUUACCGGAGAAAUUGAAAUACCGACCGGGUAAAACAGUCAGUGGAUCCAUAGGAUUUUUCCACCGCUUGCAAUUCAAAGCGUUCAAGAACAGAAGUGAUCAUGUAGCGAAAUCAUAAAGAAUAACGCUAUAAACAAUUAAAAUAACCGUUAUACAAAAGUGUCAUUCCGAGGUUAUGAUUUGCUCUAUAUCAAAAAAACGUCAGUUUCGAUACCUUAUUUAUACAAGCGUAUAGAAACGCAAGGUGUAUAAUCUCGUAAAAUUUCAAACUAACCUAAAACAGGGGAACAGUAUAUGUUUUCCUUUAGGAAAAUAUUCAGGUCAGGGUGCUACCUGAGCGCUCAAAGUAAGGCUGCGUAUUACUGCAAAAGGAUUUCAAAUACAUACGCAGGUCGGACAUUUUAUUACAGUUUUCAUCCGCAGAUUAGCCCCUUUGGAACCAUCGAUACUCGAUUCAGGACCUUUAUAGCCCCCCAUAAAAGUAUCUAUUUGGUGUUUUCGACUGGACUGACUGGACCGACUGGACCGAAACGCAACUCGAACAAAAAGCUAUCCCCCGGAAUUUCUCGGUAUACGUGAAACGUUGUUACGUCUCGGGGUCCAAUUACGUUAGGAUCGCCGACGUACCUUCACAAUUUCAAAGACGUUGCGCAUCCCUUUCAUUUCCUUUUUUAUCUUCCUCUACAGAUCCUGAUUUUUACUAUUUCAUGGCGCGAUACUGUGAAACUUAGUAUAUACAUAUAUACGUAUGCAUGGGAAUGUUAAAAGCUUGUGGUUAUAUGAUUAGAAUUGUAUGUGUGAGUUUUGAAGAAAGAGGAAGCACUUCUUGACUUUUUUGUGUGUUUAGUGAAGUUUACGGAAUCGUGGAUUUCCACGCUUAUAUCUUUAGGUUAGACUGUUCCUUUUUCCUCGUUUUGUGUAGUAGAGAUUGUAAAUCAUAGAUAUUGUGGCAUAUAGAGAAGAGGUUGUUGGUAGC